UACGUAGGGGGCAAGCGUUGUCCGGAUUAUUGGGCGUAAAGAGCGUGUAGGCGGCUUUACAGGUCCGUUGUGAAAACUCGAGGCUCAACCUCGAGACGCCGGUGGAAACCGUAAGGCUAGAGUCCGGAAGAGGAGAGUGGAAUUCCUGGUGUAGCGGUGAAAUGCGCAGAUAUCAGGAAGAACACCCGUGGCGAAGGCGGCUCUCUGGGACGGUACUGACGCUGAGACGCGAAAGCGUGGGGAGCGAACAGG
rnacentral:rRNA from 1 species